rnacentral:snRNA from 1 species
GUGCUCGCUAUGGCAGCACAUAUCCUAAAAUCGGAACCAUACAGAGAAGAUUAGCAUGGCCCCUUCAAAAACAAAAAACAAAAAACACCGGUUAUU